CUCUGGAAGUCACCCUGACCAUAGAGAAUGGGUUUGAAAGGAAUCCUGAGGGCACUUCUAUGAUGCUAAAUCAGAGGGCCAGAGAAAUCAGCUGAAGCACUGGAACAGGCUGGUCCAUCCUGCAUCAGGCGCCGUCAUCGUGGAGUUCUUCUGGCAGCAGAGACUGCAGAGAGCUGAGAAAGGAUGAUCACACGUGUGACACAGCAUGGGAUGGAGCACAUUUAGCUGCUGGAUUCCCAAAUGGGGAGUGUGAGUUCCAUUAAUGCCUGAAGCAUCCCAGCAGUGCCUGCAUGCCCUUCACCUCCAGGUCAGCAGUAAUUGCUUUGCUGGGCUUGGCUGCACAGCAAAGCACACUGUGACAGUGAGCAGCACUUUUCUGGUGAGGAAAGCUCAGGCAUUUAACCAGCUGAGCACAAAUCUCCACUGGCAACUUGUGAAAUUUGCAUUUUCCCUCCCAUUCCGUGUCCAGGGAUACAGCACUGGGAUGCUGCAGAAGCCUCUUGUGGGUCACUGGGCACUCUGCAGUUAUAAAGCACUUUCUUCAGUCUGUCCAUUUAUUGUGCCAUCUUCAUCUUGAUGAAGCUUCAGCUUUCCAUAGUGAGCAUAAAAUAUUAAACUCAA